GCUCACAGUGCUCAGCCUGCUUCUUGUUGGCCCCAGGUGAGUCCGCUCUUCCAAAAGCUGGAGAGUGAGCGCAUCGACGCCCUCCGCAAGCGCUUCGGGGGGGGGCAGGUGAGUGGGGGCUGUUUAGCCAUGGCUCCUCCUCCUCCUCCUGCCUCUCGUUUCCCCUCCCAGCCCCACAGCACCUCCUCGUCUCGGUUUCUCUUUCUUACCCACCCUUCUUCCCCAGCCCAAAGGCCCCCAGUAGUGCUGCUCUGCAUUGAGGCACCUCCUCCUCCCUCAGCCUCUCCCAGUCCUCCUUCCCACCCCUCCCGCCCCAAGCCCCUCCCGGUUGCAUUAAUUCAUCCACCUUGGUGCUUCUUCAUUCCCGUCAUUGCACCUCUUUGUCCUUCUGUCUUUUGUUUCCCCUCCUUCCUCAGACCCCCACCCCAGCAAUGCUCCUCCGCCGCAGCAUCUCCCCCCUCUGCCUUUCCUGGUUCUUUUUCCCCAGCCCCAGACCCCUCAAAGUUCUCCCCUGCCUCUUCUGUUUCUCUUCUUCCUCACGCCUCCAGCCCUGGGCUCCCCCAGUAGUGCUCAUCCACCACGGCACCAUCAUCACACAGCACAGAACGCAGACACGUCUUUCUCUUUCUCUCUCCCAUUCCUCAGGCAAAACCCCCAACCCCCCCACGCAGUCAGACCCUCCCUCAGUGCCAGGCACGGCUCCCACUGACCCCAGCCGCAUCCAGGAGCUGACAGAGCAGGUGGCCGAGCAGCCCUCACCGCUCUCUGUCCCAGGGCGACUGCGUGCGGCGGCUGAAGGCGAGCGGGGCGGACAGGGCGCGCAUCGACAGCGAGGUGGGGAAACUGCUGGCCCUGAAACGGGAGCUGGCGCUGGCUCAGAACGCGAGCCCCGACAGCAAAGGGAAGAAGUAACACAGCGGGACCGCGCCGUGCCACGCGUGUAAUAAAACCCAAAUGCCGUACAGCGGUGCUGGAAGCCAUCGUCCUUUCGCGGGGCCGCCCCACCCCGGCCCUCUAAGCGCGGCGCAGGCUGAGGACGCGCUC
rnacentral:lncRNA from 1 species